UUCAUGAUCUCAAAAUAAUGCUAUGGAUUGAUCAUUCAUGAUCUCAAUGAUUAAUUUAGCUAUGGACUGACCAUUCAUGAUCUCAAAAUGAUAAUUUUAGCUAUGGACUGACCAUUCAUGAUCUCAAAAUUAUAAUUUAACCAUGUUUUAGGCUAUACGGGGUUUGUUACAUUUACAAUGUUUCCAAACAUUGGAGGAAAACAAAUUUAUAUUUUGUGGUUCUGAUGGAGUUGUGACAGUUAAAAUAAUCUUAUGAGGGAUUUAUAAUUAAUAGUUUUCAAGAAUCAAUAGGGAUAGUACAGUAUCAAUGCAUUUAUAUAAUCUAAAUAGUGUAUUACAAACCAGUAGCCCCCUUUAAACACUACAGUAUAAUAACAUAUACAUAUACCAUUACAACAGUAGAUCACCCCUUUAAUCACUACAGUAUCAUAACAACAGUAGAUCACCCCUUUAAUCACUACAGUAUCAUAACAUAUUUACAUAUACCAUUACAACAGUAGAUCACCCUAAACACUACAGUACAACAGUUCACAGAACAGAGGUCAGAUAGGCCUACAGUUACGUUGUUGAACAGUGGUCUCUGCCCUAUCUUUUAAAAACUGAUGAUGAGUGGUAAAGAAGGUACAUUUGGAUCACCUAUUACACGUUGUACAAGUACAUUGAUAAGUUGAUCUGGAAAUCAACCUGCCCCGCCUCCUUCCUGUUUAUGAGUAGUACAGCAUCAAGAGAUAAUGCCCUGUGGGCUAUCCUAUGAAUACAACAUAUGUCCAUAGAAUCAUCCCACUGGGCACAGACGUCAGUUCAACGUCUACUUUAAUUCAUAUUUGGUUGUGAAUUCAACAAAACAUUUCACCAUGUCAUUGAUUUAGGUCAAAAAUAUAUUUUUUAAAUUAAAUUCCCAAAACAUUAAAUCUUUUUUUCAAAUCCAAUCAGUUUUCCACGUCGAUUCAACGUCAUCACAUUUGACGUUUUUUUGGGUUGAAAGACGGGGAAACAACGUUGAUUCAACAGUUUUUUUUUUUUUUGCCCAGUAGGAUUAUGACAGAAUUCAGCCAUUCUUUUUUUAAACUCAGGAGAAGGGCUGGUCUGGAUUGACAUCAGAAGUAAACAAUGAGUGUAUUGUUGUGUCAUCAUCUGGAUGUAACCGGUGUGUAAAAAUAUAUUGCCAAGUAUCCUGGAAGUGAAUUAUAAUACAAACAGAACAAACUGUCUGUGUGAUGC
rnacentral:lncRNA from 1 species